rnacentral:rRNA from 1 species
UACGGGGGGAGCAAGCGUUGUUCGGAUUUACUGGGCGUAAAGGGCGCGUAGGCGGCCAGCACAAGUCAGUUGUGAAAUCUCCGAGCUUAACUCGGAAAGGUCAACUGAUACUGUGCGGCUAGAGUGCAGAAGGGGCAACUGGAAUUCUUGGUGUAGCGGUGAAAUGCGUAGAUAUCAAGAGGAACACCUGCGGCGAAGGCGGGUUGCUGGGCUGACACUGACGCUGAGGAGCGAAAGCGUGGGGAGCAAACAGG